rnacentral:rRNA from 1 species
CAAGGCUUGACAUAUACAGGAAAAGCGUAGAAAUACGCUCCCCGCAAGGUCUGUAUACAGGUGGUGCAUGGUUGUCGUCAGCUCGUGUCGUGAGAUGUUGGGUUAAGUCCCGCAACGAGCGCAACCCUCGUCCUAUGUUGCCAGCACGUAAUGGUGGGAACUCAUGGGAGACUGCCGGGGUCAACUCGGAGGAAGGUGGGGAUGACGUCAAAUCAUCAUGCCCCUUAUGUCUUGGGCUUCACGCAUGCUACAAUGGCCGGUACAAAGGGCUGCAAUACCGCAAGGUGGAGCGAAUCCCAUAAAGCCGGUCUCAGUUCGGAUUGGGGUCUGCAACUCGACCCCAUGAAGUCGGAGUCGCUAGUAAUCGUAGAUCAGCAA